GAUGGAGGGGGAUAACUACUGGAAACGGUAGCUAAUACCGCAUAACGUCGCAAGACCAAAGAGGGGGACCUUCGGGCCUCUUGCCAUCGGAUGUGCCCAGAUGGGAUUAGCUAGUAGGUGGGGUAACGGCUCACCUAGGCGACGAUCCCUAGCUGGUCUGAGAGGAUGACCAGCCACACUGGAACUGAGACACGGUCCAGACUCCUACGGGAGGCAGCAGUGGGGAAUAUUGCACAAUGGGCGCAAGCCUGAUGCAGCCAUGCCGCGUGUAUGAAGAAGGCCUUCGGGUUGUAAAGUACUUUCAGCGGGGAGGAAGGGAGUAAAGUUAAUACCUUUGCUCAUUGACGUUACCCGCAGAAGAAGCACCGGCUAACUCCGUGCCAGCAGCCGCGGUAAUACGGAGGGUGCAAGCGUUAAUCGGAAUUACUGGGCGUAAAGCGCACGCAGGCGGUUUGUUAAGUCAGAUGUGAAACCCCC
rnacentral:rRNA from 1 species